rnacentral:rRNA from 1 species
UAGGGAAUCUUCCACAAUGGACGAAAGUCUGAUGGAGCAACGCCGCGUGAGUGAUGAAGGGUUUCGGCUCGUAAAACUCUGUUGUUGGAGAAGAACGGGUGUCAGAGUAACUGUUGACAUCGUGACGGUAUCCAACCAGAAAGCCACGGCUAACUACGUGCCAGCAGCCGCGGUAAUACGUAGGUGGCAAGCGUUGUCCGGAUUUAUUGGGCGUAAAGCGAGCGCAGGCGGUUUUUUAGGUCUGAUGUGAAAGCCUUCGGCUUAACCGGAGAAGUGCAUCGGAAACCGGGAGACUUGAGUGCAGAAGAGGACAGUGGAACUCCAUGUGUAGCGGUGAAAUGCGUAGAUAUAUGGAAGAACACCAGUGGCGAAGGCGGCUGUCUGGUCUGUAACUGACGCUGAGGCUCGAAAGCAUGGGUAGCGAACAGGAUUAGAUACCCUUGGUAGUCCAUGCCGUAAACGAUGAGUGCUAAGUGUU